GACGAACGCUGGCGGCGUGCUUAACACAUGCAAGUCGAACGCUGAAGCUCAGCUUUUGUUGGGUGGAUGAGUGGCGAACGGGUGAGUAACACGUGAGUAACCUGCCUCCUUCUUUGGGAUAACGCCCGGAAACGGGUGCUAAUACUGGAUAUUCACUGGUCUUCGCAUGGGGGUUGGUGGAAAGGGUUUUUCUGGUGGGGGAUGGGCUCGCGGCCUAUCAGCUUGUUGGUGGGGUGAUGGCCUACCAAGGCUUUGACGGGUAGCCGGCCUGAGAGGGUGACCGGUCACAUUGGGACUGAGAUACGGCCCAGACUCCUACGGGAGGCAGCAGUGGGGAAUAUUGCACAAUGGGCGCAAGCCUGAUGCAGCGACGCCGCGUGAGGGAUGGAGGCCUUCGGAUUGUGAACCUCUUUCGCUCAUGGUCAAGCCGCAACAAUGGUUGUGGUGAGGGUAGUGGGUAAAGAAGCGCCGGCUAACUACGUG
rnacentral:rRNA from 1 species